rnacentral:rRNA from 1 species
CCUACGGGAGGCAGCAGUGGGGAAUAUUGCACAAUGGGCGCAAGCCUGAUGCAGCCAUGCCGCGUGUGUGAAGAAGGCCUUCGGGUUGUAAAGCACUUUCAGCGGGGAGGAAGGCGUUAAGGUUAAUAACCUUGGCGAUUGACGUUACCCGCAGAAGAAGCACCGGCUAACUCCGUGCCAGCAGCCGCGGUAAUACGGAGGGUGCAAGCGUUAAUCGGAAUUACUGGGCGUAAAGCGCACGCAGGCGGUCUGUCAAGUCGGAUGUGAAAUCCCCGGGCUCAACCUGGGAACUGCAUUCGAAACUGGCAGGCUAGAGUCUUGUAGAGGGGGGUAGAAUUCCAGGUGUAGCGGUGAAAUGCGUAGAGAUCUGGAGGAAUACUGGUGGCGAAGGCGGCCCCCUGGACAAAGACUGACGCUCAGGUGCGAAAGCGUGGGGAGCAAACAGGAUUAGAUACCCGUGUAGUC